CUUCAGGAUUUUGACCUGAUAAAACAUCUUCGAAUUUUUCGAAUUCCCACUUGUGACGUAUUCAUACAUCAUGCAGCCACAUUUCGGGAAGCGGGUGAACACGAUCUCGGAAAUGCUCAAUUUCCAGAAACCCAGGAAAAACAUGGUGGGCCCGGCGUGGAACAAAAUGAUUCCAAGAUACGAAAACGAUGGGUAAGUACGAUACGACUAAAUGAGUCUAAAUUCACUCGAGUGUUCCUGGGAUGGACUGCCCUUGAUCGAAGGGUUCAUGUUACAUAACAUCGCACAUAAUGUGCGAACACUCUAAAACUCAAGAUUUGUUAAUGAUGGGGAAGUUGCCUUACGACGCCGUUUCUCAAUAGGCCUUUACUGCCGUGCUAAGGAAAAACGCCGUAUGAACCUUCAGACGUUGCCAAAUUUCCUUUGGUAAGUCAUGAAUUUUCGAGAAAAUUUGUAAACAUUUUUCUUCCAAUUUUUCAGAAAAUUUCUUUCGCAAUUACCUACAGUUCCUGAAAAUUCCUCGGAAAAUAUUCAUAACUCUCCUGCAAAAUAAACAUUUUAUCGAAGGAAAUUUGGCAACUCUCGAAUGUCCAUACGGCGUUUUUCCUUAGCACGGCAGUUUAGACGAGGUAUAAAUUAAAGCACAACGAUAUGUGUUUUCUCUUCAAAAUGCCGCGAGGUAAACUAAUCACACGACGGGAAGUCUGAAAAUCAACUCAUGAACAAGCUAUAAGCGUUCUCUAUUGGCAUUGGUUAAAUGGCAAAAAUACAAAUGACGUCAUUUGUAUAACCGAACUUCCAUUUGAUCUGUGUUUAAAAGACUCGUUAAUAUCUCAUCCAGCGGGUCGAUUGUUGAAUCGCUAUCGAAUGGCCUUGAUCGAUAUAUAGCAUUGUUAAGAUAGGGAGUUAUCGAUCGAUUUCAUUCGAUAACGAUUCAACAAUCGACCCGCAGGAGUUGAUUUUAAAACUACCCGGUGUGUGAACUUUUUUCUACGUAAGAUUUUGAAGAAAAAACAUGGGUGUGUUCCUCUAUUUCAGACCUUGUCUAAGGGCCCAUUACGAUGUUAGAGAAAGAGA
rnacentral:lncRNA from 1 species